AGAGUUUGAUCCUGGCUCAGGAUGAACGCUAGCUACAGGCUUAACACAUGCAAGUCGAGGGGAAACGAUAGAGAAAGCUUGCUUUUUCUAGGCGUCGACCGGCGCACGGGUGAGUAACGCGUAUCCAACCUGCCCACCACUUGGGGAUAACCUUGCGAAAGUAAGACUAAUACCCAAUGACGUCUCUAGAAGACAUCUGAAAGGGAUUAAAGAUUUAUCGGUGAUGGAUGGGGAUGCGUCUGAUUAGCUUGUUGGCGGGGUAACGGCCCACCAAGGCAACGAUCAGUAGGGGUUCUGAGAGGAAGGUCCCCCACAUUGGAACUGAGACACGGUCCAAACUCCUACGGGAGGCAGCAGUGAGGAAUAUUGGUCAAUGGGCGAGAGCCUGAACCAGCCAAGUAGCGUGCAGGAUGACGGCCCUAUGGGUUGUAAACUGCUUUUAUAAGGGAAUAAAGUGAGUCUCGUGAGGCUUUUUGCAUGUACCUUAUGAAUAAGGACCGGCUAAUUCCGUGCCAGCAGCCGCGGUAAUACGGAAGGUCCGGGCGUUAUCCGGAUUUAUUGGGUUUAAAGGGAGCGUAGGCCGGAGAUUAAGCGUGUUGUGAAAUGUAGAUGCUCAGCAUCUGCACUGCAGCGCGAACUGGUUUCCUUGAGUACGCACAAAGUGGGCGGAAUUCGUGGUGUAGCGGUGAAAUGCUUAGAUAUCACGAAGAACUCCGAUUGCGAAGGCAGCUCACUGGAGCGCAACUGACGCUGAAGCUCGAAAGUGCGGGUAUCGAACAGGGUUAGAUACCCUGGUAGUCCGCACGGUAAACGAUGGAUGCCCGCUGUUGGUCUGAAUAGGUCAGCGGCCAAGCGAAAGCAUUAAGCAUCCCA
rnacentral:rRNA from 1 species